ACCUGGCUGGCUCAGUUGGUAGAGCAUGUGACUCUUGAUCUCGGGAUUGUGGGUUCGAGCCCCAUGGUGGGUG
rnacentral:tRNA from 1 species